UACGGAGGGUGCAAGCGUUAUCCGGAUUUACUGGGUUUAAAGGGUGCGUAGGUGGAUUUGUAAGUCAGUGGUGAAAUCUCCGGGCUUAACCCGGAAACUGCCAUUGAUACUAUAAGUCUUGAAUUAUCUGGAGGUAAGCGGAAUAUGUCAUGUAGCGGUGAAAUGCUUAGAUAUGACAUAGAACACCAAUUGCGAAGGCAGCUUACUACGGAUAUAUUGACACUGAGGCACGAAAGCGUGGGGGAUCAAACAGG
rnacentral:rRNA from 1 species